CUCGGAAGCGGGCACCUAAAACUGUACGGUGGCCGCAAAAAGUCAGACGGAAGUGAUAAGCCGACGGACUUGUACUUCCGGGCAGCGCUCUGGUUGGGAGCGUGUUGAGACUUGGACUGCGCUAUGUCGGGCAGAGACGGCGGUAAGAAGAAACCUCUGAAGCAACCGAAGAAACAGACAAAGGACAUGGACGAGGAAGAUUUGGCGUUCAAGCAAAAACAGAAGGAAGAGCAGAAGAAACUUGCGGAGAUGAAGACAAAAGCUUCUGGGAAAGGCCCCCUUACUGGUGGUGGCAUCAAGAAGUCUGGCAAAAAGUAGUUACAUGCUGUAGAAGAAGCAGUCUGCUCCCAUUGGUUGCUUGUCUACGCAAUGGAUCUGCAGAUUCAUGUAGUCAAGAAAAUUCACUGUCAUUUGAGUACCUUGUACAUUUUGCUCAGUCAAAAUAAAUUCUUUUGUUAAGA